rnacentral:rRNA from 1 species
AGAGAUGUGUGAUGACGCAUAUCAAUAAGCGGAGGAAAAGAAACUAACUAGGAUUCCCUUAGUAACGGCGAGUGAAGCGAGAAGAGCUCAAAUUUGAAAUCUUCAAGGUUCUACCUUGACGAAUUGUAGUUUAUAGAAGUGUUUUCUGUUAGUAGGAGUGGCAAAAGUUCUUUGGAAUAGGACAUCAUAGAGGGUGAGAAUCCCGUAUUUGGUCAUUCCUCCUAGCGUUGUGAUACACUUUCAACGAGUCGGAUUGUUUGGGAAUGCAGUCCAAAAUGGGUGGUAAAUUUCAUCUAAAGCUAAAUAUUGGCGAGAGACCGAUAGCGAACAAGUACCGUGAGGGAAAGAUGAAAAGAACUUUGAAAAGAGAGUUAAACAGUACGUGAAAUUGUCAAAAGGGAAGCGUUUGACACCAGUGUUGUUUUUCCGAAAAUCAAUUACGAAUGUUUUGUUUUUGAGAAGUUAUGACUUCAUCGGCUUGCUUCUCUCUUUACGAAACUUUCUUAAUGCACUUUUCGGUUAACAAGUCAACAUCAAUUUCUUUUGUUGUAAAAGGGUAAGAGGAAGGUGGCUUGCGCUUCGGCUCAAGUGUUUAUAGCCUUUUAUCUCUGCAAUCGGAGAGAUUGAGGUCUGCAGCGUAGAUCCUUCGGGGUUAGAUACAUUGGUGCUAAGCUAUAGCCUUGUAUAGACAACUUGUUGACUAUGCUCAGUCAUGUAGCUUACUCGCUGAUGCUAUUUUACCUACGCUUAGGAUGUUGAGUAGCGACAUACGCAC